rnacentral:rRNA from 1 species
AGUGAACGCUGGCGGUAGGCCUAACACAUGCAAGUCGAACGGCAGCACAGUAAGAGCUUGCUCUUACGGGUGGCGAGUGGCGGACGGGUGAGGAAUACAUCGGAAUCUACUUUUUCGUGGGGGAUAACGUAGGGAAACUUACGCUAAUACCGCAUACGACCUACGGGUGAAAGCAGGGGAUCUUCGGACCUUGCGCGAUUGAAUGAGCCGAUGUCGGAUUAGCUAGUUGGCGGGGUAAAGGCCCACCACGGCGUCGAUCCGUAGCUGGUCUGAGAGGAUGAUCAGCCUCACUGGAACUGAGACACGGUCCAGACUCCUACGGGAGGCAGCAGUGGGGAAUAUUGGACAAUGGGCGCAAGCCUGAUCCAGCCAUACCGCGUGGGUGAAGAAGGCCUUCGGGUUGUAAAGCCCUUUUGUUGGGAAAGAAAAGCAGCAGGUUAAUACCCCGCUGUUCUGACGGUACCCAAAGAAUAAGCACCGGCUAACUUCGUG